GAUGAACGCUAGCGGGAGGCUUAACACAUGCAAGUCGAGGGGCAGCACGAGGUAGCAAUACUUUGGUGGCGACCGGCGCACGGGUGAGUAACGCGUAUGCAACCUACCCUGUACAGGGGGAUAACCCGGAGAGAUUCGGACUAAUACCCCAUAAAGAUAUUUAGAGGCAUCUUUGAAUAUUUAAAGUUCCGGCGGUACGGGAUGGGCAUGCGUAACAUUAGCUAGUUGGUAAGGUAACGGCUUACCAAGGCAACGAUGUUUAGGGGUCCUGAGAGGGUGAUCCCCCAAACUGGUACUGAGACACGGACCAGACUCCUACGGGAGGCAGCAGUGAGGAAUAUUGGUCAAUGGGCGCAAGCCUGAACCAGCCAUCCCGCGUGAAGGAAGAAUGCGCUAUGCGUUGUAAACUUCUUUUCCAGGGGAAUAAAAUUUUGUACGUGUACGGAAUUGAAGGUACCCUGGGAAUAAGCAUCGGCUAACUCCGUGCCAGCCGCCGCCGUAAAAC
rnacentral:rRNA from 1 species